rnacentral:lncRNA from 1 species
GUGAGUUCUCAGGAGAUCUGAUGGUUUUAGAAGAGGCAGUUUUCCCUGUGCUCUCUCUCUCUCUCUCUUUCCUGCCACCCUGUGAAGAGGUCUCUCCUUCCCCUUUGCCCUCCACCAUGAUUGUAAGUUUCCUGAGGCCUCCUCAGCCAUGCAGAACUAAAUGCAAAUAUGUGGCUCAGGCCUGUAAUCCCAGCACUUUGGGAGGCCGAGGCGGGCGGAUCACGAGGUCAGGAGAUCGAGACCACGGUGAAACCCCGUCUCUACUAAAAAUACAAAAAAAAAAAAAAUUAGCCGGGCGUGGUGGCGGGCGCCUGUAGUCCCAGCUACUCAAGAGGCUGAGGCAGGAGAACGGCGUGAACCCGGGAGGCGGAACUUAAGAGUGAGCCGAGAUGGCACCACUGCACUCCAGCCUGGGCGACAGCAAGACUCCGUCUCAAAAAAAAAAAAAAAAAAAAGAAAUGCAAAUGUAGCCUUUUACUUCCCCUUCACCAGACACUCCCUACAGGGCAAGUUCUUCUAACUGUGCUUCCAGACUGAACUCUCCUCGAGAGUUAACAGUCCAUUUGCCGACCGAAGUAUGCCCACAAUGGAACUCUCACCCUCCAGGAGGCUGCUAGAGAGAUAGCAGUCAAAAAGCACGCCCACUGCUCUCUCCCACUUGGAGAGUUUUCAGCCUAGUAAGAUGCCAGCAGUCACCAGCUCGGCUGCCCAGUAGACAAGGCCCUGCCUUGCUUGCUCUCUCCCACUUGGAGAGUUUUCAGCCUAGUAAGAUGCCAGCAGUCACCAGCUCGGCUGCCCAGUAGAUAAGGCCCUGCCUUGCUUGCUCUCUCCCCUGACUUUUAAAAGUGCCUGCUUUCUGCUCCAAAAGAGAAGUGCACAUUUAAAGGCAGGAUGCCUGUGCCUCUUCCCCUAAGCCAGCUUUGGAAAUAAAUCACUUUCUUUC